rnacentral:rRNA from 1 species
ACGCUGAAGCUUGGUGCUUGCACCGAGCGGAUGAGUUGCGAACGGGUGAGUAACGCGUAGGUAACCUGCCUCUUAGCGGGGGAUAACUAUUGGAAACGAUAGCUAAUACCGCAUAAAAGUCAACAUUGCAUGAUGUUGACUUGAAAGGUGCAAAUGCAUCACUAAGAGAUGGACCUGCGUUGUAUUAGCUAGUUGGUGAGGUAACGGCUCACCAAGGCGACGAUACAUAGCCGACCUGAGAGGGUGAUCGGCCACACUGGGACUGAGACACGGCCCAGACUCCUACGGGAGGCAGCAGUAGGGAAUCUUCGGCAAUGGACGGAAGUCUGACCGAGCAACGCCGCGUGAGUGAAGAAGGUUUUCGGAUCGUAAAGCUCUGUUGUAAGAGAAGAACGAGUGUGAGAGUGGAAAGUUCACACUGUGACGGUAACUUACCAGAAAGGGACGGCUAACUACGUGCCAGCAGCCGCGGUAAUACGUAGGUCCCGAGCGUUAUCCGGAUUUAUUGGGCGUAAAGCGAGCGCAGGCGGUUAGAUAAGUCUGAAGUUAAAGGCUGUGGCUUAACCAUAGUACGCUUUGGAAACUGUUUAACUUGAGUGCAGAAGGGGAGAGUGGAAUUCCAUGUGUAGCGGUGAAAUGCGUAGAUAUAUGGAGGAACACCGGUGGCGAAAGCGGCUCUCUGGUCUGUAACUGACGCUGAGGCUCGAAAGCGUGGGGAGCAA